CGGGAUUCAAUGAGUCUACCAUACAACUUUGGGCGGUUCAAGAAUGGAACAUCGUGAAACAAAGUCCCUUUCAUCUAUCAAUCCUGUCACUUGGAGUUUUUAUAGAUUUUCAAAAGAAUCAUAGCUUACCUCUUUGUUAUUGUGGUACACUUAGGUCAUUGACAUAUUUAGUAUUUGUGGAUCUUACUAAGGCAUUUAAAGAUUGAUGCCUUGAAAAAAUCCUACCUCUAAAAAGGUUAUAUCUAGAGUUUAGGUAAUUCAAGGAUUACCUUGCAUAUGUUGCCAAGUCAAAGCCGGGAUCCUAGGAGGGGAGUGUCAUACUCUUAGAUCAAUAUUAUGCAUGUGUGUGGAAAUAUUUGGUGUCUAUCCUAAUUCUACAUUGCUCCUUGAGAGUAUUCCUUGAAGAAUUUACAAUGAAGAUCAUUAGACUUUCUUGUGAUAAUAAACUUCUUUAGGUAUAGAGAUAAGAGCUAUCAUUUUCUUCUUCUCUUUUUUAAACACUUAUUUUGCAUAGCUCUAUACCACUGCCCUAGAAUACAAUAAUCUUGAAAGGGAAUUAAUCACAAUUCUGGAGCAUUUAUUUUAAAGCCUAUAAUCUUUUUGGAUCUUCUCCUAGGGUAGGAGAUAGAUUUUUAGGGUGGAAAAUGUAUGUGUUGCGUACUCCUAAGGUAGGAGCAGCAGAUAUAUUUGGGUGUAAGUGAUCUUGAUCUUGAGAGCAUGACCCACCUCUCAACAGGUUCUGAUCUUGAUCUUGAUCUUGAGAGCACAAUUUGAAUUAAGUCAAUAUAAAGCAAGUAGCUUAUGAGCUAAUUUUAUAAUCAUGUAAGGCUUAGGUAGGCAUUGAUCUUACCACAGAGGAAGAUUAGCUAUUAUUUUUAAUGUUUUUGGAAAGAAAUUCUCCAAAUGAUAGAACAUUAAGAAUCAGGUUCUCGUUAUUCUUCUAUCUCACAAUCCACAAGGGCCUAAGUGUAUGGGGUCCCUAACAAAAACUUCCCAACAACAUAAGUAUUCCUAGGAAUAGUGUUGUGCAAAUCUAUCCUUAAGUCAUGGUGAAGCAACAUUAAUCUUUAAUCUAGGCAAGUAUAGAACUUGUUUUUUUUUGUUUUUUAAUAGGUCAUCAAUUAUCACAGCAUGUGUAUGAGAAUAGAGAGUAUGAGGAACGUACGAUACCGUGUUGACGGGGAUGGAUAUGAUGAAGAGCUAGGCACAUAGCCUGUGUAGCCAAUCUAGACCCACUUCAUCGGGUGCGGUUUUGUUGUCGAAUACUUCUAUUUUCUCAUAAAUUUGCAAUCAACUUCUUAUUAGCAAGGUCUCUCCCCCACUCUUGUUUCCUGUUAUGCCAACAAAACAUGUGGAGACAAGGCACAUAUCCAAAAAUAAUAGAGAGAGAGAGAGAAAUAUAUGACUCUAAGACAACUUUAUUGUCAUUAUUUAAGGUACCUUUAUUACACGACUCAAGCAAACUACAAACAAACUAAUUAAAGACUCUUAAAACUCUAAGACUCAAAAUACUAGUGCCUUAUCAAUCGACUCUAUUUUCUCUCUCAUUUCUUCUCUAUUUUCUUCUCCUUCUCUUCCAUCCCAUCCAUGAGGUUAACUAAGGUGUGACAGGUGAUGUUAUGCUUAGCUUUUAGGCCUCUAUACUUGACAUCUCACUUGUAUACACAUCUAGUCAAUCUACCUAUCAUGGCACUUAACGUGGCUAUGCUAUGCUUAUUCCUAUCACUGGCAUGGGUAAGAUCUGCUACUUGUUUCUUGACCUCAGCAAUGGCUUGGGUGAGAGUCUCGUUGGACUCAGGGAGAGCCUCUAUCUGCUUCUAUAGAUCUGCAUUGGAUAUUCUUUUGCAUUUUGGCCCAUUAGAGGUAGAUGAAGGAGACGGAGAUCUAUGAGUCUUGACUGUUGGUAUUUUUAACAUCACUUCAUAUUAAGUUGUCAUCCCUAACAUGAUGCCAAAAACCAAGGAUAAAAAUAAUCUACAUGCAAUAACUCUAAAUAGAAUAUAUCCGCAAGCGCAUAGAUAAUUCUCCUGUUGUAGCAUUUCACCCAGGAAGUAUUCCGAGUAUCGUUGAUUCAUUUUAUGCCAAAAGGAUAAAGGAGCAUUCUAAUCAUUAAUCUUAGGUAAUCUUAUAAGGACUAAAGAAAUUAUAAUUAUGUAAAUCUAUCAUAGCCAAUAGUACUAAUGCUUUAGAGAUAACUAGUCAAUAGUAUGAUAAAUGAUAAAUGAUAAUUGAGUACAUUAAGUAAAUGGUAUUCUAGAGAUAGAGAAUCUAGACUCACUAAUGUAGCAAGGCAAUCUUAAAAUUCAGUUAAAGUAAAAGAAACCUAUGUAAUUACUAAUAUAAAGUCUACAACCUACACCAUGCUACUCAUUUUCAUCUAUAGUGUGAUAAACUCAGAAAACAUCAUAAGGAGCAUCAACUAAUGAGGAUAUAAGACACAAGGGUCACCUCCUUCACGACCGCGAUAAGACACAAGGGUUAUCAAGAAAUACAGGAGAAAGACCCACAUGUCAGGAUUACAUAGAGAUAUUAACAAGCCGCGCAAUUAUCUUACAUCUAGAAGACUCCAGAAGCCACGAGACCGAAGCGGAGGCGAAACGGGGCCAGGGGCAGGGCGCCCGCCCUGUUCCCCUGGGCGCCCGCCCCCUCUGAGAGUCCAAUCAGGACUCUGCUUCGUGGGAGAUCUCCACUGACCUAAAGGAUCAAGGAUAACCGUUCAAUCUAAGUCAGUUUGAUCCAACGGCCCAUAUUCACUUGAAGGGACUAUAAAACCAGACCCCCUAGCCCCUGGAGAAGAGAGCCUCUCAACCCUAAUUCAUUAUUCCUCAAGGGAGAAGAAGCCCCUGAUCAAGAUUAGAGCCACCACAUCAAUUAGAUAUCUAGAUUAGCAUAGCUACAUAGGAUUAGAAAUAGAAGGAGUCAAUCUUCGAUUGGUUUCCGGAUCUAUCAAGAGGAUUCUUGGUAAUUCUCUAAUUGUGCUUCUAAUUGCUUUCUAAUUAUCUUUGUUCUUCAAUAUUAUGAAUAUGACUUUGUUCUACUUCAAUAUAUUGCUUAUGACUUUGCUCUACUUGCUUAUAUUCAAGAUUAUGUUGUUCUUAGUUUAUCAUAGUUAUGUACUUGGCUUAGUUAGAUUAGAUCUAUAUACAUGCUUAGGAUCGUAUAGCGUUUAUCCAUCGGAUCCAUGGGUAAAUGAUAGAUAUUGUGUAGGCGUGGUUCUUAUACUGUAUUUAUCUGUGAUUGUACCCAAUAUGCCAGAUCGUGGGGUAGUUCAUGAUAGUGACAGCUUCAUUGAUUCUUAUAUAGUCCUCCUCUCGUGUAUUGGGCUGGCAGAGCAAUAUUAUUACAGGGGAGUGAUUGCUAUUUUUCUCAUAUUCCUUGCUAAUAUCACUAUGCAUGGGCGUAGUCUUGUCUCGCAAUGAUUGCUAAGUAUGCUUGCACUAACUAUGAUAAUGCUAGACUAUAUAGUUGAGAAUAACUUAGGAAAUAUUCUUGUAGUUCGUUCUAAUUCCAUGCUAAUGACUUUCUAGAGUAUCUAAUUGAGGUGCUUAUCAUAUUUAUUAUGUGGCUAGUUAUGAUCAGAUUAAUUAUCUUUGUCACUAUUCAUUACUUCAUAUAUCUUUUACGUGACACUUACCCCUGUAUGAAAGAGUUAGAUAAUUGUUCUCAAUUACAUAUGCAAUGAUAGAUACUCAAUCUCAUAUUCUAUUCUGUAAUCACUAUUGAUGAUUGCUAAUCCCUUCCCAGUGGUAAAAAUAUAAAUAACGAUACCUGGAAUACAUCCCGGUUAAAAUGCUACAUCAGUAUUAAUCUGUGCGCUUGCAGAUCCCAUUCAUUAUUUAUUUAGAAGAGCAAUUGCAUAUUUCAAUACCGCGUCUCUCAUGUCAUGCUGGGGAUGACAACUUGGCUUAAGUGGUAUGAGGGAUAGGUUUGGCAUUUUUGGCACCGUUACUAGAAUUAGGAAUUGUCUAGUUUUGGUAGUGAUGUUAAGAAUACCCAACAGACAUCAGCACUGGACCUCUCUUAGUCAUAUGAGUACUACGGGAUUCAAUGAGUCUACCAUACAACUUUGGGCGGUUCAAGAAUGGAACAUCGUGAAACAAAGUCCCUUUCAUCUAUCAAUCCUGUCACUUGGAGUUUUUAUAGAUUUUCAAAAGAAUCAUAGCUUACCUCUUUGUUAUUGUGGUACACUUAGGUCAUUGACAUAUUUAGUAUUUGUGGAUCUUACUAAGGCAUUUAAAGAUUGAUGCCUUGAAAAAAUCCUACCUCUAAAAAGGUUAUAUCUAGAGUUUAGGUAAUUCAAGGAUUACCUUGCAUAUGUUGCCAAGUCAAAGCCGGGAUCCUAGGAGGGGAGUGUCAUACUCUUAGAUCAAUAUUAUGCAUGUGUGUGGAAAUAUUUGGUGUCUAUCCUAAUUCUACAUUGCUCCUUGAGAGUAUUCCUUGAAGAAUUUACAAUGAAGAUCAUUAGACUUUCUUGUGAUAAUAAACUUCUUUAGGUAUAGAGAUAAGAGCUAUCAUUUUCUUCUUCUCUUUUUUAAACACUUAUUUUGCAUAGCUCUAUACCACUACCCUAGAAUACAAUAAUCUUGAAAGGGAAUUAAUCACAAUUCUGGAGCAUUUAUUUUAAAGCCUAUAAUCUUUUGGAUCUUCUCCUAGGGUAGGAGAUAGAUUUUUAGGGUGGAAAAUGUAUGUGUUGCGUACUCCUAAGGUAGGAGCAGCAGAUAUAUUUGGGUGUAAGUGAUCUUGAUCUUGAGAGCAUGACCCACCUCUCAACAGGUUCUGAUCUUGAUCUUGAUCUUGAUCUUGAGAGCACAAUUUGAAUUAAGUCAAUGCAAAGCAAGUAGCUUAUGAGCUAAUUUUAUAAUCAUGUAAGGCUUAGGUAGGCAUUGAUCUUACCACAGAGGAAGAUUAGCUAUUAUUUUUAAUGUUUUUGGAAAGAAAUUCUCCAAAUGAUAGAACAUUAAGAAUCAGGUUCUCGUUAUUCUUCUAUCUCACAAUCCACAAGGGCCUAAGUGUAUGGGGUCCCUAACAAAAACUUCCCAACAACAUAAGUAUUCCUAGGAAUAGUGUUGUGCAAAUCUAUCCUUAAGUCAUGGUGAAGCAACAUUAAUCUUUAAUCUAGGCAAGUAUAGAACUUGUUUUUUUUUGUUUUUUAAUAGGUCAUCAAUUAUCACAGCAUGUGUAUGAGAAUAGAGAGUAUGAGGAACGUACGAUACCGUGUUGACGGGGAUGGAUAUGAUGAAGAGCUAGGCACAUAGCCUGUGUAGCCAAUCUAGACCCACUUCAUCGGGUGCGGUUUUGUUGUCGAAUACUUCUAUUUUCUCAUAAAUUUGCAAUCAACUUCUUAUUAGCAAGGUCUCUCCCCCACUCUUGUUUCCUGUUAUGUCAACAAAACAUGUGGAGACAAGGCACAUAUCCAAAAAUAAUAGAGAGAGAGAGAGAGAGAAAUAUAUGACUCUAAGACAACUUUAUUGUCAUUAUUUAAGGUACCUUUAUUACACGACUCAAGCAAACUACAAACAAACUAAUUAAAGACUCUUAAAACUCUAAGACUCAAAAUACUAGUGCCUUAUCAAUCGACUCUAUUUUCUCUCUCAUUUCUUCUCUAUUUUCUUCUCCUUCUCUUCCAUCCCAUCCAUGAGGUUAACUAAGGUGUGACAGGUGAUGUUAUGCUUAGCUUUUAGGCCUCUAUACUUGACAUCUCACUUGUAUACACAUCUAGUCAAUCUACCUAUCAUGGCACUUAACGUGGCUAUGCUAUGCUUAUUCCUAUCACUGGCAUGGGUAAGAUCUGCUACUUGUUUCUUGAGCUCAGCAAUGGCUUGGGUGAGAGUCUCGUUGGACUCAGGGAGGGCCUCUAUCUGCUUCUAUAGAUCUGCAUUGGAUAUUCUUUUGCAUUUUGGCCCAUUAGAGGUAGAUGAAGGAGACGGAGAUCUAGGAGUCUUGACUGUUGGUAUUUUUAACAUCACUUCAUAUUAAGUUGUCAUCCCUAACAUGAUGCCAAAAACCAAGGAUAAAAAUAAUCUACAUGCAAUAACUCUAAAUAGAAUAUAUCCGCAAGCGCAUAGAUAAUUCUCCUGUUGUAGCAUUUCACCCAGGAAGUAUUCCGAGUAUCGUUGAUUCAUUUUAUGCCAAAAGGAUAAAGGAGCAUUCUAAUCAUUAGGCUUAGGUAAUCUUAUAAGGACUAAAGAAAUUAUAAUUAUGUAAAUCUAUCAUAGCCAAUAGUACUAAUGCUUUAGAGAUAACUAGUCAAUAGUAUGAUAAAUGAUAAAUGAUAAUUGAGUACA
rnacentral:lncRNA from 1 species